UGGGGAAUAUUGGACAAUGGGGGGAACCCUGAUCCAGCCUUGCCGCGUGUGUGAAGAAGGCCUUAUGGUUGUAAAGCACUUUAAGCGAGGAGGAGGGUACUGGUAUUAAUACUACCAGCUACUGGACGUUACUCGCAGAAUAAGCACCGGCUAACUCUGUGCCAGCAGCCGCGGUAAUACAGAGGGUGCGAGCGUUAAUCGGAUUUACUGGGCGUAAAGCGUGCGUAGGCGGCUAAUUGAGUCGGAUGUGAAAUCCCCGAGCUUAACUUGGGAAUUGCAUUCGAUACUGGUUAGCUAGAGUGUGGGAGAGGAUGGUAGAAUUCCAGGUGUAGCGGUGAAAUGCGUAGAGAUCUGGGGGAAUACCGAUGGCGAAGGCAGCCAUCUGGCCUAACACUGACGCUGAGGUACGAAAGCAUGGGGAGCAAACAGG
rnacentral:rRNA from 1 species